UUUAAUAUUAAAGGGAAUAAGUCUUUUUCUUUAUUGAGUUUGUUUGAUCCCAUUAAUGGAUAAUUUAAAUAUUUUGGUUGUUUGUCUUACUUUUGGAGUUCAUUAUAUCAGAAGCUUCAGUUAUGGCUUCAACUACUAAAUGGGAUUGGGAGCUGGUAAAGAUAAUAACAACUUCCGGACCAGAAUCUGUCAUUUCACUGCCAGAUGGGAACUCCAGCUUAUCAUAGGUUUUAAAGGUGAAAGAGGAUAAGUUGGUGACAGCUAAUGCCGAGAUUCUUAAUGGAGUGGAUGACCUCAUGGAACUUAGUUAUUUAAAUGUACCAGCAGAUUUAUUCAACCUGCAAUAUAGGUACAACCAAGAUAUGAUCUAUAGGAACUUUUAGUGGGUGAGGCUCCGAAUUUAAGUGGUGAGGGUGGAGUCGGAAAGACCGAGACAGCAAAAAUAGCAAUGCAAUACUUGGUUGUCCUUGGAGGAGGAAGCGGAAUAGAGAACAAGAUAGUAAAAACUAAUCCAAUACUAGAAGCCUUUGGUUUCUUUCAAUUCAAUAUGGAUGCUAGUGGAUAUGCUCAGCUGGGAAUAGAAUGCACUCCUCAUUGCUUUGAUAAUAUGUUUGAAAAUUUUCAAACGAAGAUAAUUUAAUAUUAAAGGGAAUCAAUCUUUUCUUUAUUUAGUUUGUUUGAUCCCAUUAAUGGAUAAUUUAAAUUUUAUACUUGUUUGUCUUACUUUUUGAGUUCGUUAUAUCAGAUGCUUCCGUUAUGGCUUCAACUUCCAAAUGUGGAUUGGGAGCUGGUAAAGAUAAUAACAACAUACGGAGCUGAAUCUGUCAUUUCACUGCCAGAUGGGAAAGUUUUAAAGGUGAAAGAGGAUAAUUUGGUGCCAGCUAUUCCCGACAUUCUUAAUGGAGUGGAUGACCUCAUGGAACUUAGUUAUUUAAAUGUACCAGCAGAUUUAUUCAUCCUGCAAUAUAGAUACAACCAAGAUAUGAUCUAUACGAAAGCUGGGCCUGUUUUGGUUGCUGUAAAUCGCUUUAAGAAGUUCCUUUCUUUGGUAAUGACCAUAUUGAAACCUACAAGUGUAAGGCAAUUGAAAGUCGUCAUGUUUAUGCAAUUACCGACACAACCAUCCUAGAAAUAAUUUGAGUGGUGAGGGUGGAGUCGGAAAGAUCGAGACAGCAAAAAUAGCAAUGCAAUACUCUGCUGCCCUUGGUGGAGGAAGCGGAAUAGAGAACGAGAUAUUAAAGAGUAAUCCAAUACUAGAAGCCUUUGGUUUCUUUCAAUUCAAUAUGGAUGCUAGUGGAUAUGCUCAGCUGGGAAUAGAAUGCACUCCUCAUUGCUUUGAUAAUAUGUUUGAAAAUUUUCAAACGAAGAUAAUUUAAUAUUAAAGGGAAUCAAUCUUUUCUUUAUUUAGUUUGUUUGAUCCCAUUAAUGGAUAAUUUAAAUUUUAUACUUGUUUGUCUUACUUUUUGAGUUUGUUAUAUCAGAUGCUUCCGUUAUGGCUUCAACUUCCAAAUGUGGAUUGGGAGCUGGUAAAGAUAAUAACAACAUACGGAGCUGAAUCUGUCAUUUCACUGCCAGAUGGGAAAGUUUUAAAGGUGAAAGAGGAUAAUUUGGUGCCAGCUAUUCCCGACAUUCUUAAUGGAGUGGAUGACCUCAUGCAUCUUAGUUAUUUAAAUGAACCAGCAGUUUUAUUCAACCUGCAAUAUAGACAACCAAGAUAUGAUUUAUUUUCAAAAAGCCAAGCUGUUUCCAUUCAUUUUAAAGUAUACCCUUGUACUGCUUUGCUUACAAAUGAAGGGAAUCAAUCAUAAUUAUAAGAGGAACUUUUAUUGGGUGAGACUCCGAAUUUAAGUCGUGAGGGUGGAGUCGGAAAGACCGAGACAGCAAAAAUAGCAAUGCAAUACUUGGCUGCCCUUGGUGGAGGAAGCGGAAUAGAGAACGAGAUAUUAAAGACUAAUCCAAUACUACAAGCCUUUGGUUUCUUUCAAUUCAAUAUGGAUGCUUGUGGAUAUGCUCAGCUUGGAAUAGAAUGCACUCCUCGUUGCUUUUCUUUAUUGAGUUUGUUUGAUCCCAUUAAUGGAUAAUUUAAAUUUUUUGAUUGUUUGUCUUAGUUUUGGAGUUCAUUAUAUCAGAAGCUUCAGUUAUGGCUUCAAAUACCAAAUGGGGAUUGGGAGCUGGUAAAGAUAAUAACAACUUCCGGAGUUGAAUCUGUCAUUUCACUGCCAGAUGGGAAACUAAGUUACGCAACAUUGUUUGUCUCGACUGUUAAGUGCUUUUUGAUCUGAUUAAUUGUACACUCCACCCUAUCUUAGGUUUUAAAGGUGAAAGAGGAUAAUGUGGUGCCAGGUAGUCCGGACAUUCUUAAUGGAGUGGAUGACCUCAUGCAACCUAGUUAUUUAAAUGAAGCAGCAGUUUUAUUCAACCUGCAAUAUAGACACAACCAAGAUAUGAUCUAUACGAAAGCUGGGCCCGUUUUGGUUGCUGUAAAUCCCUUUAAGAAAGUUCCUGUUUUUGGUAAUGACUAUAUUGAAACCUACCAGUGUAAGGCAAUUGAAAGCCCUCAUGUUUAUGCAAUUACCGACACAACCAUCCUAGAAAUGAUUUGAGUGGUGAGGGUAGAGUCGGAAAGACCGAGACAGCAAAAAUUGCAAUGCAAUACUUGGCUGCCCUUGGUGGAGGAAGCAGAAUAGAGAACGAGAUAUUAAAGACUAAUCCAAUACUAGAAGCCUUUGGUAAUGGAAAAACAGUUUUUUUCAAUUCAAUAUGGAUGCUUGUGGAUAUGGUCAGCUGGGAAUAGAAUGCACUCCUCGUUGCUUUGAUAAUAUGUUUGAAAAUUUUCAAACGAAGAUAAUUUAAUAUUAAAGGGAAUAAGUCUUUUUCUUUAUUGAGUUUGUUUGAUCCCAUUAAUGGAUAAUUUAAAUAUUUUGGUUGUUUGUCUUACUUUUGGAGUUCAUUAUAUUAGAAGCUUCAGUUAUGGCUUCAACUACCAAAUGGGAUUGGGAGCUGGUAAAGAUAAUAACAACUUCCGGACCAGAAUCUGUCAUUUCACUGCCAGAUGGGAACUGAUGAGGGUGAAGUCGGAAAGACCGUGACAGCAAAAAUAGCAAUGCAAUACUUGGCUUCCCUUUGUGGAGGAAGCGAAACAGAGAAGGAGAUAUUAAAGACUAGUCCAGUACUAGACACAUUUGCUUCAACUACCAAAUGGGAUUGGGAGGUGGUAAAGAUAAUAACAACUUCCGGAGCUGAAUCUCUCAUUUCACUGCCAGAUGGGAAAGUUUUAAAUGUGAAAGACGAUAAUUUGGUGCCAGCUAAUCCCGACAUUCUUAAUGGAGUGGAUGAUCUCAUGGAACUUAGUUAUUUAAAUGUACCAGCAGAUUUAUUCAUCCUGCAAUAUAGAUACAACCAAGAUAUGAUCUAUACGAAAGCUGGGCCUGUUUUGGUUGCUGUAAAUCGCUUUAAGAAGUUCCUUUCUUUGGUAAUGACCAUAUUGAAACCUACAAGUGUAAGGCAAUUGAAAGCCGUCAUGUUUAUGCAAUUACCGACACAACCAUCCUAGAAAUGAUUUGAGAGGAGCUUUUAGUGGGUGAGACCCCGAAUUUAAGUGGUGAGGGUGGAGUCGGAAAGAUCGAGACAGCAAAAAUAGCAAUGCAAUACUCUGCUGCCCUUGGUGGAGGAAGCGGAAUAGAGAACGAGAUAUUAAAGACUAAUCCAAUACUAGAAGCCUUUGGUUUCUUUCAAUUCAAUAUGGAUGCUAGUGGAUAUGCUCAGCUGGGAAUAGAAUGCACUCCUCAUUGCUUUGAUAAUAUGUUUGAAAAUUUUCAAACGAAGAUAAUUUAAUAUUAAAGGGAAUCAAUCUUUUCUUUAUUUAGUUUGUUUGAUCCCAUUAAUGGAUAAUUUAAAUUUUAUACUUGUUUGUCUUACUUUUGGAGUUCAUUAUAUCAGAUGCUUCCGUUAUGGCUUCAACUACCAAAUGUGGAUUGGGAGCUGGUAAAGAUAAUAACAACAUACGGAGCUGAAUCUGUCAUUUCACUGGCAGAUGGGAAAGUUUUAAAGGUGAAAGAGGAUAAUUUGGUGCCAGCUAUUCCCGACAUUCUUAAUGGAGUGGAUGACCUCAUGCAUCUUAGUUAUUUAAAUGAACCAGCAGUUUUAUUCAACCUGCAAUAUAGACAACCAAGAUAUGAUUUAUUGCAGGAGAAGCUGAUAGGAAAACAUUUUGCAUGUAUUUCUUCUUCAAAUGCUGAAGAUACGACAUCAAUUGGAGUUAACCACAAUGGUCACGACCUCAAUCCUCAACUAUGUAAUCAUUUACUCUCUUUUCCUUUUGCGCAUUACUUUUCUCUAAAAUUGUUGUCUCAUGUUUUUAUGAUGGGCACCUACUGAGGUGGACAUGGUUGAUGGAUAUUUUAUUGAUUUAAAUUUGCUGACAUCUUUUGCAUGUAAAUCACACUAUAAUUUAUCUAUUUACUAUAUUUCUGGAGGGACACCUCUCUUUUGGAUUGGUGUGGGUGUUGGGCUUUCUGCACGGUUUUCUAUGUCUUUCAUUCCAAAGACACUGAUGUUAAGAAUGCUGAGGAGGAUGUACAACGGAUAACAAGUGGAAAGGACACUUAAAGAUUUAUACUACCAGGACCGUUACAGGGCUUAAACAUGCUCUGUCAUUAACUCAGUCUUCACAGCAAAAGACCCAACAGCAGAAAUCAAGUGCCACAGAAGAUUCACCGAUCAUUUCUGAAGAGUAUUCAUCCUCAGAAAGUGAAGCAGUGGAUCUGCAGAAAAAAAGAGAGGCCAAGAAUGAUAAUAAGAAGGUGGUGAAGAGGGGAAAAGAGAAGCACGUAAAACUAAAGUCCCUAAGGCGGUUAAGAAAAGAAAGAAAAAGUUGGCUUAAACACGCAAGACCAUAUAGAUAGGAAAGAGAACGAAUAAUGUCCCGAACAUGGAAGAAAGAUUCACAUGAUAAAACAAAAACAAUAAAGCAAGUGUGCCUGAAGACAUGUCCCAAAGCUUUCUACAACAAGAGAUGUUCUGGUUGCCUAAUAAUUCUUUCUUAAUAUUUAAGCCUUCAACACGAUCUACACCAAUAGAACAAGCCCAAUCAGGCUAACAUUUAUUGUUCAUAUUUAAAUACCAGAACGGAUGUUUUGUAUAA